rnacentral:misc_RNA from 1 species
UGUGUUGAGGUCUAAGGUUUGUGA